rnacentral:rRNA from 1 species
AGAAUCAACGCUGGCGGCGUGCCUCAGACAUGCAAGUCGAACGCGAAAGCUUUCUUCGGAGAGCAAGUAGAGUGGCGCACGGGUGAGUAACACGUGGGUAAUUUACCUUUGGGUGGGAAUAACAGCCGGAAACGGCUGCUAAUACCGCAUAAUGCAGCGGCAUCUUAAUGAUGACAGUUGUAAAGCGAGGGAUCGCAAGACCUCGCGCCAGAAGAGAAGCCCGCGGCAGAUUAGCUAGUUGGUGAGGUAAUGGCUCACCAAGGCGACGAUCUGUAG